CAAGUAAAGCGCCUUAUCGCAUCUUAUUUAUAAGAUGAGGAAAGUCCGGACACCGUAGUGCAAUAUAGUGGUUAAUCGCCACCAGUCGUGAGACUAGGAAAAGUGCAACAGAAAGAAUGUACAGGUCAUGCUGUAGUGAAACCAGGUAAACUCUAUGUGGUGCAAUGUCAUGUAUACUAACGUUUGAGCGUGCACGCGCGAUUGUUAGAGGGUAGGCAGCUAAAGUGUACUAGUAAUAGUACGCUCAGAUAAAUGAUAAGGGCUCGUAAGAGUACAAAAUCCGGCUUAUAGCUUUACUUAUUUA
rnacentral:RNase_P_RNA from 1 species